GGAUGUGAGGGCGAUCUGGUUGUGACAGCUGUCACCCCACUGAUUGCCAGGGUUGAUUCAGCUGAUCUGGCUGGCUAGAAGGGUGUCCCCUUCCUCCCUAACUAAUCCAUGUGCGUCCCUCAUGAGGCUGUGUGUUUGGUCAAAGAGUACAACCAUCCCCAAGAGAGGAGGACUGGUCUUCCGUCAAGGGUACACAGGUAGGCGCGCUUCCCUGCUAGAACCUCCAAACAAACUCUCAAGGUGCAAAAUGCAUUUCAGCUCAAAUAGUCAAGCAUUCUUUCAACAUUAGUGAAUCAUU
rnacentral:snRNA from 1 species